rnacentral:rRNA from 1 species
AUACGGAGGGUGCAAGAGUUAUUCGGAAUUACUGGGCGUAAAGCGCGCGUAGGCGGAUAUUUAAGUCAGAUGUGAAAUCCCUGGGCUCAACCUAGGAACUGCAUUUGAAACUGGAUAUCUAGAGUAUGGUAGAGGUGAGUGGAAUUUCAGGUGUAGCGGUGAAAUGCGUAGAGAUCUGAAGGAACAUCAGUGGCGAAGGCGACUCACUGGGCCAUUACUGACGCUGAGGUGCGAAAGCGUGGGUAGCAAACAGGAUUAGAAACCCUAGUAGUCC